AACGCACCUUGCACCUUUUGGCAUUCCGAAAGGUACAUCUGUUUGAGUGUCAUGAAUCCCUCAACCUCUACAUUUCCUUGUGAGACGUACGAGCGUUGGAUGCUGAGCGUUGCUGUUCUCACAGACAGCUCGCUUCAAAUUGAUCAGCAAUCUCGAUAGUGCUCGGAUUGACCCGACGUGAUAAGAUCUUCGUUGGGAAAUGCUUUCAUUAGCAGCCGGUCUACUACACGAGUGGCUUCUAACAUCUGAUCGCGCCUUCUGGCAUGACAGACCCCCUACUUUUAGACCUCAAAUCAGAUGGGACUACCCGCUGAACUUAA
rnacentral:misc_RNA from 1 species